AACGAACGGUAGCGGCGUGGAUUAGGCAUGCAAGUCGGACGAGAUCCUCGCUUCGGUGAGGUGAAAGUGGCGAAAGGGUGAGUAAUGCAUAGAUAACCUUCCCCUGACUCUGGGAUAACUGGGGGAAACUCCAGCUAAAACCGGAUAGGCUCGCGUGAUCGCCUGGUCGCGCGAGUAAAGGCGGCCUCUUGGCAAUGCUUCCGGUUGGGGACGGACCUAUGUCCUAUCAGCUUGUUGGUGAGGUAACGGCUCACCAAGGCGAUGACGGGUAGCCGGCCUGAGAGGGCGAUCGGCCACACUGGGACUGAGACACUGCCCAGACUCCUACGGGAGGCUGCAGUCGAGAAUCUUCCGCAAUGGGGGCAACCCUGACGGAGCGACGCCGCGUGCGGGAGGAAGGCCUUCGGGUUGUAAACCGCUGUCACAGGUUAUGAAAGGGCCUGGUGGUAAUAUCACCAGGUUUUGACAAAGGCCUGAGAGGAAGCCACGGCUAACUUCGUGCCAGCAGCCGCGGUAAGACGAAGGUGGCAACCGUUGUUCGGAAUCACUGGGCAUAAAGCGCACGUAGGCGGAUACGUAAGUCGGGUGUGAAAUCCCUCGGCCUAACCGAGGAACUGCGCCCGAUACUGCGCGUC
rnacentral:rRNA from 1 species